rnacentral:rRNA from 1 species
UACGUAGGGGGCAAGCGUUAUCCGGAUUUACUGGGUGUAAAGGGAGCGUAGACGGCAGCGCAAGUCUGGAGUGAAAUGCCGGGGCCCAACCCCGGAACUGCUUUGGAAACUGUGCGGCUCGAGUGCGGGAGAGGUAGGCGGAAUUCCUAGUGUAGCGGUGAAAUGCGUAGAUAUUAGGAGGAACACCAGUGGCGAAGGCGGCUUACUGGACCGUAACUGACGUUGAGGCUCGAAAGCGUGGGGAGCAAACAGG